ACAGCAGCCGCCGCGGUAAUACGUAGGUGGCAAGCGUUGUCCGGAAUUAUUGGGCGUAAAGGGCUCGCAGGCGGUUUCUUAAGUCUGAUGUGAAAGCCCCCGGCUCAACCGGGGAGGGUCAUUGGAAACUGGGAAACUUGAGUGCAGAAGUGGAGAGUGGAAUUCCACGUGUAGCGGUGAAAUGCGUAGAGAUGUGGAGGAACACCAGUGGCGAAGGCGACUCUCUGGUCUGUAACUGACGCUGAGGAGCGAAAGCGUGGGGAGCGAACAGGAUUAGAUACCCCCGUAGUCCCUGUCUCUUAUAC
rnacentral:rRNA from 1 species